AAUAUGGCAGACAAGCCAGACAUGGGAGAAAUUGCCAGCUUCCAUAAGGCCAAGCUGAAGAAAACCGAGACGCAGGAAAAGAACACCCUGCUGACCAAAGAGACCAUUGAGCAGGAAAAGCGGAGUGAAAUUUCCUAAAAGCCUAGACUGGAGGAUUUCCCCACCCCACCCCACCCCUGUGAUCUCCGAGACCCCCCUCAUGAUGUGGAGGAAGAGCCACCUGCAGGAUGGACACCACAAGCUGCACUGUGAACCCGGGCACUCCAUGCCAAUGCCACCGGCUCCUGGGUCUCUGAAGGGGGCCCCAUCCCCAAUCAGACUGCCAAAUUUCACCGAUUUGCCCUGGGAUUUUAUAGAAAAUUAUUUGUAUGAUUAAUGAAAAUAAAACACACCU